rnacentral:rRNA from 1 species
ACAUCCAGCGAACUUGGCAGAGAUGCCUUGGUGCCUUCGGGAACGCUGAGACAGGUGCUGCAUGGCUGUCGUCAGCUCGUGUUGUGAAAUGUUGGGUUAAGUCCCGNAACGAGCGCAACCCUUUAUCCUUUGUUGCCAGCGAUUCGGUCGGGAACUCAAAGGAGACUGCCGGUGAUAAACCGGAGGAAGGUGGGGAUGACGUCAAGUCAUCAUGGCCCUUACGAGUAGGGCUACACACGUGCUACAAUGGCGCAUACAAAGAGAAGCGACCUCGCGAGAGCAAGCGGACCUCAUAAAGUGCGUCGUAGUCCGGAUCGGAGUCUGCAACUCGACUCCGUGAAGUCGGAAUCGCUAGUAAUCGUGGAUCAGAAUGCCACGGUGAAUACGUUCCCGGGCCUUGUACACACCGCCCGUCACACCAUGGGAGUGGGUUGCAAAAGAAGUAGGUAGCUUAACCUUCGGGAGGGCGCUUACCACUUUGUGAUUCAUGACUGGGGUGAAGUCGUAACAAGGUAAGCGUAGCGAG